rnacentral:tRNA from 1 species
GCCGGCGUAGCUCAGUGGUAGAGCAACUGAUUCGUAAUCAGUUGGUCGGAGGUUCAACUCCUCUCGCCGGCUCCA